rnacentral:rRNA from 1 species
UACGUAGGGUGCAAGCGUUUGUCCGGAAUUAUUGGGCGUAAAGAGCUCGUAGGCGGUUUGUCGCGUCGGCUGUGAAAACCCGGGGCUCAACCCCGGGCCUGCAGUCGAUACGGGCAAACUAGAGUGCGGUAGGGGAGACUGGAAUUCCUGGUGUAGCGGUGAAAUGCGCAGAUAUCAGGAGGAACACCGGUGGCGAAGGCGGGUCUCUGGGCAACAACUGACGCUGAGGAGCGAAAGCGUGGGGAGCGAACAGG